rnacentral:rRNA from 1 species
CAGUAGCGCGGUAAUACGGAGGGUGCAAGCGUUAAUCGGAAUUACUGGGCGUAAAGCGCACGCAGGCGGUUUGUUAAGUCAGAUGUGAAAUCCCCGGGCUCAACCUGGGAACUGCAUUUGAAACUGGCAAGCUAGAGUCUCGUAGAGGGGGGUAGAAUUCCAGGUGUAGCGGUGAAAUGCGUAGAGAUCUGGAGGAAUACCGGUGGCGAAGGCGGCCCCCUGGACGAAGACUGACGCUCAGGUGCGAAAGCGUGGGGAGCAAACAGGAUUAGAUACCCGCGUAGUCCCUGUCUCUUAUACA